rnacentral:rRNA from 1 species
GAUAAACGCUGGCGGCGUGCCUAAUGCAUGCAAGUCGCACGGAUCGUCUCUUCGGAGGCGGUGAGUGGCGAACGGGUGAGGAACGCGUGGACAACCUACCCCGGCGUGGGGGAUACCCGCCAGAAAUGGCGGCUAAUACCGCGUACGGUUCUCUGGCGAGGGGCUGGGGAAAGAAAGCAGUGAUGCGCGCUGGGAGGGGUCUGCGGCCGAUUAGCUGGUUGGCGGGGUAACGGCCCACCAAGGCGAUGAUCGGUAGCUGGUCUGAGAGGAUGAUCAG